UACGUAGGGUGCGAGCGUUGUCCGGAAUUAUUGGGCGUAAAGAGCUUGUAGGCGGUUUGUCGCGUCUGCCGUGAAAAUUCGAGGCUCAACCUCGAACUUGCGGUGGGUACGGGCAGACUAGAGUGUGGUAGGGGAGACUGGAAUUCCUGGUGUAGCGGUGAAAUGCGCAGAUAUCAGGAGGAACACCAAUUGCGAAGGCAGCUCGCUGGGACAUUACUGACGCUGAGACGCGAAAGCGUGGGGAGCAAACAGG
rnacentral:rRNA from 1 species